GGACGAACUGUUCUAACGUUAUUCGGAAUCACUGGGCUUAAAGGGCGCGUAGGCUGUUUGUUAAGCGGGGUCUGAAAUCCCUCGGCUCAACCGAGGAACUGGGCUUCGAACUGGCAGACUAGAGUGAAGUAGGGGUAAGCGGAACUUGCGGUGGAGCGGUGAAAUGCUUUGAUAUCGCAAGGAACACCGGCGGCGAAGGCGGCUUACUGGGCUUCAACUGACGCUUAAGCGCGAAAGCUAGGGUAGCGAACGGGAUUAGAUACCCCCGUAGUCCCUGAGCGGGCUGG
rnacentral:rRNA from 1 species